rnacentral:rRNA from 1 species
GUGGGGAAUAUUGGGCAAUGGGCGAAAGCCUGACCCAGCAACGCCGCGUGAAGGAAGAAGGUCUUCGGAUCGUAAACUUCUAUCCUUGGUGAAGAUAAUGACGGUAGCCGAGAAGGAAGCCCCGGCUAACUACGUGCCAGCAGCCGCGGUAAUACGUAGGGGGCAAGCGUUGUCCGGAAUGAUUGGGCGUAAAGGGCGCGUAGGCGGCCUGGUAAGUCUGGAGUGAAAGUCCUGCUUUUAAGGUGGGAAUUGCUUUGGAUACUGUCGGGCUUGAGUGCAGGAGAGGUAAGUGGAAUUCCCGGUGUAGCGGUGAAAUGCGUAGAUAUUCGGAAGAACACCAGUGGCGAAGGCGACUCACUGGCCCAAUACUGACGCUGAGGCGCGAAAGCGUGGGGAGCAAACAGGAUUAGAAACCCCUGUAGUCC